rnacentral:rRNA from 1 species
CCCGCAAGGGUGCAUGGCAGACGGGUGAGUAACGCGUGGGGAACCUACCUCUUUGUGGGGAAUAACGUUCCGAAAGGAAUGGUAAUACCGCAUGAGACCCUGGACUGGGACGUCCAGGGUGAAACCCGGGGACCGCAAGGCCUGGGGCAAGGAGAGGGUCCUGCGUCUGAUUAGCUAGUUGGUGGGGUAAUGGCCUACCAAGGCGACGAUCAGUAGCCGGCCUGAGAGGGUGAUCGGCCACACUGGAACUGAGACACGGUCCAGACUCCUACGGGAGGCAGCAGUGGGGAAUUUUGCGCAAUGGGCGAAAGCCUGACGCAGCAACGCCGCGUGGGUGAUGAAGGUCUUCGGA